rnacentral:lncRNA from 1 species
UGUAAAGGACUGGGGCCCCGCAACUGGCCUCUCCUGCCCUCUUAAGCGCAGCGCCAUUUUAGCAACGCAGAAGCCCGGCGCCGGGAAGCCUCAGCUCGCCUGAAGGCAGGUCCCCUCUGACGCCUCCGGGAGCCCAGGUUUCCCAGAGUCCUUGGGACGCAGCGACGAGUUGUGCUGCUAUCUUAGCUGUCCUUAUAGGCUGGCCAUUCCAGGUGGUGGUAUUUAGAUAAAACCACUCAAACUCUGCAGUUUGGUCUUGGGGUUUGGAGGAAAGCUUUUAUUUUUCUUCCUGCUCCGGUUCAGAAGGUCUGAAGCUCAUACCUAACCAGGCAUAACACAGAAUCUGCAAAACAAAAACCCCUAAAAAAGCAGACCCAGAGCAGUGUAAACACUUCUGGGUGUGUCCCUGACUGGCUGCCCAAGGUCUCUGUGUCUUCGGAGACAAAGCCAUUCGCUUAGUUGGUCUACUUUAAAAGGCCACUUGAACUCGCUUUCCAUGGCGAUUUGCCUUGUGAGCACUUUCAGGAGAGCCUGGAAGCUGAAAAACGGUAGAAAAAUUUCCGUGCGGGCCGUGGGGGGCUGGCGGCAACUGGGGGGCCGCAGAUCAGAGUGGGCCACUGGCAGCCAACGGCCCCCGGGGCUCAGGCGGGGAGCAGCUCUGUGGUGUGGGAUUGAGGCGUUUUCCAAGAGUGGGUUUUCACGUUUCUAAGAUUUCCCAAGCAGACAGCCCGUGCUGCUCCGAUUUCUCGAACAAAAAAGCAAAACGUGUGGCUGUCUUGGGAGCAAGUCGCAGGACUGCAAGCAGUUGGGGGAGAAAGUCCGCCAUUUUGCCACUUCUCAACCGUCCCUGCAAGGCUGGGGCUCAGUUGCGUAAUGGAAAGUAAAGCCCUGAACUAUCACACUUUAAUCUUCCUUCAAAAGGUGGUAAACUAUACCUACUGUCCCUCAAGAGAACACAAGAAGUGCUUUAAGAGGUAUUUUAAAAGUUCCGGGGGUUUUGUGAGGUGUUUGAUGACCCGUUUAAAAUAUGAUUUCCAUGUUUCUUUUGUCUAAAGUUUGCAGCUCAAAUCUUUCCACACGCUAGUAAUUUAAGUAUUUCUGCAUGUGUAGUUUGCAUUCAAGUUCCAUAAGCUGUUAAGAAAAAUCUAGAAAAGUAAAACUAGAACCUAUUUUUAACCGAAGAACUACUUUUUGCCUCCCUCACAAAGGCGGCGGAAGGUGAUCGAAUUCCGGUGAUGCGAGUUGUUCUCCGUCUAUAAAUACGCCUCGCCCGAGCUGUGCGGUAGGCAUUGAGGCAGCCAGCGCAGGGGCUUCUGCUGAGGGGGCAGGCGGAGCUUGAGGAAACCGCAGAUAAGUUUUUUUCUCUUUGAAAGAUAGAGAUUAAUACAACUACUUAAAAAAUAUAGUCAAUAGGUUACUAAGAUAUUGCUUAGCGUUAAGUUUUUAACGUAAUUUUAAUAGCUUAAGAUUUUAAGAGAAAAUAUGAAGACUUAGAAGAGUAGCAUGAGGAAGGAAAAGAUAAAAGGUUUCUAAAACAUGACGGAGGUUGAGAUGAAGCUUCUUCAUGGAGUAAAAAAUGUAUUUAAAAGAAAAUUGAGAGAAAGGACUACAGAGCCCCGAAUUAAUACCAAUAGAAGGGCAAUGCUUUUAGAUUAAAAUGAAGGUGACUUAAACAGCUUAAAGUUUAGUUUAAAAGUUGUAGGUGAUUAAAAUAAUUUGAAGGCGAUCUUUUAAAAAGAGAUUAAACCGAAGGUGAUUAAAAGACCUUGAAAUCCAUGACGCAGGGAGAAUUGCGUCAUUUAAAGCCUAGUUAACGCAUUUACUAAACGCAGACGAAAAUGGAAAGAUUAAUUGGGAGUGGUAGGAUGAAACAAUUUGGAGAAGAUAGAAGUUUGAAGUGGAAAACUGGAAGACAGAAGUACGGGAAGGCGAAGAAAAGAAUAGAGAAGAUAGGGAAAUUAGAAGAUAAAAACAUACUUUUAGAAGAAAAAAGAUAAAUUUAAACCUGAAAAGUAGGAAGCAGAAGAAAAAAGACAAGCUAGGAAACAAAAAGCUAAGGGCAAAAUGUACAAACUUAGAAGAAAAUUGGAAGAUAGAAACAAGAUAGAAAAUGAAAAUAUUGUCAAGAGUUUCAGAUAGAAAAUGAAAAACAAGCUAAGACAAGUAUUGGAGAAGUAUAGAAGAUAGAAAAAUAUAAAGCCAAAAAUUGGAUAAAAUAGCACUGAAAAAAUGAGGAAAUUAUUGGUAACCAAUUUAUUUUAAAAGCCCAUCAAUUUAAUUUCUGGUGGUGCAGAAGUUAGAAGGUAAAGCUUGAGAAGAUGAGGGUGUUUACGUAGACCAGAACCAAUUUAGAAGAAUACUUGAAGCUAGAAGGGGAAGUUGGUUAAAAAUCACAUCAAAAAGCUACUAAAAGGACUGGUGUAAUUUAAAAAAAACUAAGGCAGAAGGCUUUUGGAAGAGUUAGAAGAAUUUGGAAGGCCUUAAAUAUAGUAGCUUAGUUUGAAAAAUGUGAAGGACUUUCGUAACGGAAGUAAUUCAAGAUCAAGAGUAAUUACCAACUUAAUGUUUUUGCAUUGGACUUUGAGUUAAGAUUAUUUUUUAAAUCCUGAGGACUAGCAUUAAUUGACAGCUGACCCAGGUGCUACACAGAAGUGGAUUCAGUGAAUCUAGGAAGACAGCAGCAGACAGGAUUCCAGGAACCAGUGUUUGAUGAAGCUAGGACUGAGGAGCAAGCGAGCAAGCAGCAGUUCGUGGUGAAGAUAGGAAAAGAGUCCAGGAGCCAGUGCGAUUUGGUGAAGGAAGCUAGGAAGAAGGAAGGAGCGCUAACGAUUUGGUGGUGAAGCUAGGAAAAAGGAUUCCAGGAAGGAGCGAGUGCAAUUUGGUGAUGAAGGUAGCAGGCGGCUUGGCUUGGCAACCACACGGAGGAGGCGAGCAGGCGUUGUGCGUAGAGGAUCCUAGACCAGCAUGCCAGUGUGCCAAGGCCACAGGGAAAGCGAGUGGUUGGUAAAAAUCCGUGAGGUCGGCAAUAUGUUGUUUUUCUGGAACUUACUUAUGGUAACCUUUUAUUUAUUUUCUAAUAUAAUGGGGGAGUUUCGUACUGAGGUGUAAAGGGAUUUAUAUGGGGACGUAGGCCGAUUUCCGGGUGUUGUAGGUUUCUCUUUUUCAGGCUUAUACUCAUGAAUCUUGUCUGAAGCUUUUGAGGGCAGACUGCCAAGUCCUGGAGAAAUAGUAGAUGGCAAGUUUGUGGGUUUUUUUUUUUUACACGAAUUUGAGGAAAACCAAAUGAAUUUGAUAGCCAAAUUGAGACAAUUUCAGCAAAUCUGUAAGCAGUUUGUAUGUUUAGUUGGGGUAAUGAAGUAUUUCAGUUUUGUGAAUAGAUGACCUGUUUUUACUUCCUCACCCUGAAUUCGUUUUGUAAAUGUAGAGUUUGGAUGUGUAACUGAGGCGGGGGGGAGUUUUCAGUAUUUUUUUUUGUGGGGGUGGGGGCAAAAUAUGUUUUCAGUUCUUUUUCCCUUAGGUCUGUCUAGAAUCCUAAAGGCAAAUGACUCAAGGUGUAACAGAAAACAAGAAAAUCCAAUAUCAGGAUAAUCAGACCACCACAGGUUUACAGUUUAUAGAAACUAGAGCAGUUCUCACGUUGAGGUCUGUGGAAGAGAUGUCCAUUGGAGAAAUGGCUGGUAGUUACUCUUUUUUCCCCCCACCCCCUUAAUCAGACUUUAAAAGUGCUUAACCCCUUAAACUUGUUAUUUUUUACUUGAAGCAUUUUGGGAUGGUCUUAACAGGGAAGAGAGAGGGUGGGGGAGAAAAUGUUUUUUUCUAAGAUUUUCCACAGAUGCUAUAGUACUAUUGACAAACUGGGUUAGAGAAGGAGUGUACCGCUGUGCUGUUGGCACGAACACCUUCAGGGACUGGAGCUGCUUUUAUCCUUGGAAGAGUAUUCCCAGUUGAAGCUGAAAAGUACAGCACAGUGCAGCUUUGGUUCAUAUUCAGUCAUCUCAGGAGAACUUCAGAAGAGCUUGAGUAGGCCAAAUGUUGAAGUUAAGUUUUCCAAUAAUGUGACUUCUUAAAAGUUUUAUUAAAGGGGAGGGGCAAAUAUUGGCAAUUAGUUGGCAGUGGCCUGUUACGGUUGGGAUUGGUGGGGUGGGUUUAGGUAAUUGUUUAGUUUAUGAUUGCAGAUAAACUCAUGCCAGAGAACUUAAAGUCUUAGAAUGGAAAAAGUAAAGAAAUAUCAACUUCCAAGUUGGCAAGUAACUCCCAAUGAUUUAGUUUUUUUCCCCCCAGUUUGAAUUGGGAAGCUGGGGGAAGUUAAAUAUGAGCCACUGGGUGUACCAGUGCAUUAAUUUGGGCAAGGAAAGUGUCAUAAUUUGAUACUGUAUCUGUUUUCCUUCAAAGUAUAGAGCUUUUGGGGAAGGAAAGUAUUGAACUGGGGGUUGGUCUGGCCUACUGGGCUGACAUUAACUACAAUUAUGGGAAAUGCAAAAGUUGUUUGGAUAUGGUAGUGUGUGGUUCUCUUUUGGAAUUUUUUUCAGGUGAUUUAAUAAUAAUUUAAAACUACUAUAGAAACUGCAGAGCAAAGGAAGUGGCUUAAUGAUCCUGAAGGGAUUUCUUCUGAUGGUAGCUUUUGUAUUAUCAAGUAAGAUUCUAUUUUCAGUUGUGUGUAAGCAAGUUUUUUUUUAGUGUAGGAGAAAUACUUUUCCAUUGUUUAACUGCAAAACAAGAUGUUAAGGUAUGCUUCAAAAAUUUUGUAAAUUGUUUAUUUUAAACUUAUCUGUUUGUAAAUUGUAACUGAUUAAGAAUUGUGAUAGUUCAGCUUGAAUGUCUCUUAGAGGGUGGGCUUUUGUUGAUGAGGGAGGGGAAACUUUUUUUUUUUCUAUAGACUUUUUUCAGAUAACAUCUUCUGAGUCAUAACCAGCCUGGCAGUAUGAUGGCCUAGAUGCAGAGAAAACAGCUCCUUGGUGAAUUGAUAAGUAAAGGCAGAAAAGAUUAUAUGUCAUACCUCCAUUGGGGAAUAAGCAUAACCCUGAGAUUCUUACUACUGAUGAGAACAUUAUCUGCAUAUGCCAAAAAAUUUUAAGCAAAUGAAAGCUACCAAUUUAAAGUUACGGAAUCUACCAUUUUAAAGUUAAUUGCUUGUCAAGCUAUAACCACAAAAAUAAUGAAUUGAUGAGAAAUACAAUGAAGAGGCAAUGUCCAUCUCAAAAUACUGCUUUUACAAAAGCAGAAUAAAAGCGAAAAGAAAUGAAAAUGUUACACUACAUUAAUCCUGGAAUAAAAGAAGCCGAAAUAAAUGAGAGAUGAGUUGGGAUCAAGUGGAUUGAGGAGGCUGUGCUGUGUGCCAAUGUUUCGUUUGCCUCAGACAGGUAUCUCUUCGUUAUCAGAAGAGUUGCUUCAUUUCAUCUGGGAGCAGAAAACAGCAGGCAGCUGUUAACAGAUAAGUUUAACUUGCAUCUGCAGUAUUGCAUGUUAGGGAUAAGUGCUUAUUUUUAAGAGCUGUGGAGUUCUUAAAUAUCAACCAUGGCACUUUCUCCUGACCCCUUCCCUAGGGGAUUUCAGGAUUGAGAAAUUUUUCCAUCGAGCCUUUUUAAAAUUGUAGGACUUGUUCCUGUGGGCUUCAGUGAUGGGAUAGUACACUUCACUCAGAGGCAUUUGCAUCUUUAAAUAAUUUCUUAAAAGCCUCUAAAGUGAUCAGUGCCUUGAUGCCAACUAAGGAAAUUUGUUUAGCAUUGAAUCUCUGAAGGCUCUAUGAAAGGAAUAGCAUGAUGUGCUGUUAGAAUCAGAUGUUACUGCUAAAAUUUACAUGUUGUGAUGUAAAUUGUGUAGAAAACCAUUAAAUCAUUCAAAAUAAUAAACUAUUUUUAUUAGAGAAUGUAUACUUUUAGAAAGCUGUCUCCUUAUUUAAAUAAAAUAGUGUUUGUCUGUAGUUCAGUGUUGGGGCAAUCUUGGGGGGGAUUCUUCUCUAAUCUUUCAGAAACUUUGUCUGCGAACACUCUUUAAUGGACCAGAUCAGGAUUUGAGCGGAAGAACGAAUGUAACUUUAAGGCAGGAAAGACAAAUUUUAUUCUUCAUAAAGUGAUGAGCAUAUAAUAAUUCCAGGCACAUGGCAAUAGAGGCCCUCUAAAUAAGGAAUAAAUAACCUCUUAGACAGGUGGGAGAUUAUGAUCAGAGUAAAAGGUAAUUACACAUUUUAUUUCCAGAAAGUCAGGGGUCUAUAAAUUGACAGUGAUUAGAGUAAUACUUUUUCACAUUUCCAAAGUUUGCAUGUUAACUUUAAAUGCUUACAAUCUUAGAGUGGUAGGCAAUGUUUUACACUAUUGACCUUAUAUAGGGAAGGGAGGGGGUGCCUGUGGGGUUUUAAAGAAUUUUCCUUUGCAGAGGCAUUUCAUCCUUCAUGAAGCCAUUCAGGAUUUUGAAUUGCAUAUGAGUGCUUGGCUCUUCCUUCUGUUCUAGUGAGUGUAUGAGACCUUGCAGUGAGUUUAUCAGCAUACUCAAAAUUUUUUUCCUGGAAUUUGGAGGGAUGGGAGGAGGGGGUGGGGCUUACUUGUUGUAGCUUUUUUUUUUUUUACAGACUUCACAGAGAAUGCAGUUGUCUUGACUUCAGGUCUGUCUGUUCUGUUGGCAAGUAAAUGCAGUACUGUUCUGAUCCCGCUGCUAUUAGAAUGCAUUGUGAAACGACUGGAGUAUGAUUAAAAGUUGUGUUCCCCAAUGCUUGGAGUAGUGAUUGUUGAAGGAAAAAAUCCAGCUGAGUGAUAAAGGCUGAGUGUUGAGGAAAUUUCUGCAGUUUUAAGCAGUCGUAUUUGUGAUUGAAGCUGAGUACAUUUUGCUGGUGUAUUUUUAGGUAAAAUGCUUUUUGUUCAUUUCUGGUGGUGGGAGGGGACUGAAGCCUUUAGUCUUUUCCAGAUGCAACCUUAAAAUCAGUGACAAGAAACAUUCCAAACAAGCAACAGUCUUCAAGAAAUUAAACUGGCAAGUGGAAAUGUUUAAACAGUUCAGUGAUCUUUAGUGCAUUGUUUAUGUGUGGGUUUCUCUCUCCCCUCCCUUGGUCUUAAUUCUUACAUGCAGGAACACUCAGCAGACACACGUAUGCGAAGGGCCAGAGAAGCCAGACCCAGUAAGAAAAAAUAGCCUAUUUACUUUAAAUAAACCAAACAUUCCAUUUUAAAUGUGGGGAUUGGGAACCACUAGUUCUUUCAGAUGGUAUUCUUCAGACUAUAGAAGGAGCUUCCAGUUGAAUUCACCAGUGGACAAAAUGAGGAAAACAGGUGAACAAGCUUUUUCUGUAUUUACAUACAAAGUCAGAUCAGUUAUGGGACAAUAGUAUUGAAUAGAUUUCAGCUUUAUGCUGGAGUAACUGGCAUGUGAGCAAACUGUGUUGGCGUGGGGGUGGAGGGGUGAGGUGGGCGCUAAGCCUUUUUUUAAGAUUUUUCAGGUACCCCUCACUAAAGGCACCGAAGGCUUAAAGUAGGACAACCAUGGAGCCUUCCUGUGGCAGGAGAGACAACAAAGCGCUAUUAUCCUAAGGUCAAGAGAAGUGUCAGCCUCACCUGAUUUUUAUUAGUAAUGAGGACUUGCCUCAACUCCCUCUUUCUGGAGUGAAGCAUCCGAAGGAAUGCUUGAAGUACCCCUGGGCUUCUCUUAACAUUUAAGCAAGCUGUUUUUAUAGCAGCUCUUAAUAAUAAAGCCCAAAUCUCAAGCGGUGCUUGAAGGGGAGGGAAAGGGGGAAAGCGGGCAACCACUUUUCCCUAGCUUUUCCAGAAGCCUGUUAAAAGCAAGGUCUCCCCACAAGCAACUUCUCUGCCACAUCGCCACCCCGUGCCUUUUGAUCUAGCACAGACCCUUCACCCCUCACCUCGAUGCAGCCAGUAGCUUGGAUCCUUGUGGGCAUGAUCCAUAAUCGGUUUCAAGGUAACGAUGGUGUCGAGGUCUUUGGUGGGUUGAACUAUGUUAGAAAAGGCCAUUAAUUUGCCUGCAAAUUGUUAACAGAAGGGUAUUAAAACCACAGCUAAGUAGCUCUAUUAUAAUACUUAUCCAGUGACUAAAACCAACUUAAACCAGUAAGUGGAGAAAUAACAUGUUCAAGAACUGUAAUGCUGGGUGGGAACAUGUAACUUGUAGACUGGAGAAGAUAGGCAUUUGAGUGGCUGAGAGGGCUUUUGGGUGGGAAUGCAAAAAUUCUCUGCUAAGACUUUUUCAGGUGAACAUAACAGACUUGGCCAAGCUAGCAUCUUAGCGGAAGCUGAUCUCCAAUGCUCUUCAGUAGGGUCAUGAAGGUUUUUCUUUUCCUGAGAAAACAACACGUAUUGUUUUCUCAGGUUUUGCUUUUUGGCCUUUUUCUAGCUUAAAAAAAAAAAAAGCAAAAGAUGCUGGUGGUUGGCACUCCUGGUUUCCAGGACGGGGUUCAAAUCCCUGCGGCGUCUUUGCUUUGACUACUAAUCUGUCUUCAGGACUCUUUCUGUAUUUCUCCUUUUCUCUGCAGGUGCUAGUUCUUGGAGUUUUGGGGAGGUGGGAGGUAACAGCACAAUAUCUUUGAACUAUAUACAUCCUUGAUGUAUAAUUUGUCAGGAGCUUGACUUGAUUGUAUAUUCAUAUUUACACGAGAACCUAAUAUAACUGCCUUGUCUUUUUCAGGUAAUAGCCUGCAGCUGGUGUUUUGAGAAGCCCUACUGCUGAAAACUUAACAAUUUUGUGUAAUAAAAAUGGAGAAGCUCUAAA